CCGCGUCACGUUGAAACACUGGUUCCCAUACUAUCACCGAAGUUAAGAAACGUCGAACCAGGUUGGUACUUAGGUGGGUGAUAGUUUGGGAAUACCAGGUGCU